UACGAAGGGGGCUAGCGUUGCUUGGAAUCACUGGGCGUAAAGGGCGCGUAGGCGGCGUUUUAAGUCGGGGGUGAAAGCCUGUGGCUCAACCACAGAAUGGCCUUCGAUACUGGGACGCUUGAGUAUGGUAGAGGUUGGUGGAACUGCGAGUGUAGAGGUGAAAUUCGUAGAUAUUCGCAAGAACACCGGUGGCGAAGGCGGCCAACUGGACCAUUACUGACGCUGAGGCGCGAAAGCGUGGGGAGCAAACAGG
rnacentral:rRNA from 1 species